GAUGAACGCUAGCUACAGGCUUAACACAUGCAAGUCGAGGGGAAACGAUAGAGAAAGCUUGCUUUUUCUAGGCGUCGACCGGCGCACGGGUGAGUAACGCGUAUCCAACCUGCCCAUCACUUGGGGAUAACCUGGCGAAAGUAAGACUAAUACCCAAUGAUAUCUCUAGAAGACAUCUGAAGGAGAUUAAAGAUUUAUCGGUGAUGGAUGGGGAUGCGUCUGAUUAGCUUGUUGGCGGGGUAACGGCCCACCAAGGCGACGAUCAGUAGGGGUUCUGAGAGGAAGGUCCCCCACAUUGGAACUGAGACACGGUCCAAACUCCUACGGCAGGCAGCAGUGAGAAAUAUUGGUCAAUGGGCGAGAGCCUGAACCAGCCAAGUAGCGUGCAGGAUGACGGCCCUAUGGGUUGUAAACUGCUUUUAUAAGGGAAUAAAGUGAGUCUCGUGAGGCUUUUUGCAUGUACCUUAUGAAUAAGGACCGGCUAAUUCCGUGCCAGCAGCCGCCGUAA
rnacentral:rRNA from 1 species